UAGAGCAGAUGUGUGGUAUUGAUCGGUCUUCUAGCAUCAAAUAUUAAGUCUAAUUCGUCCCAUAGUCUGAAUUUAGAUAAAAUAAAAUGACUUGCACUGUGUGGGCAUCAUGAUUCCACAAUAUGGACCUCAAAGUCUGGCACCUUUCUGCAGGAGAAGCAGCUGCAGCCACAUGCACACCAGAGACACAGAGACAAUUCUCAAAAAACAAAACGAAGGCAGUUUUGUUUACGCAAACGAUACCAGUCAAAACCAUUGUUGGCUGUGACAAUAAUUUGCAGUCAAGCCUUUACGCACAGUGGAGUGAGUCAGAUUCGCCAUGCAGCCGUGCGGAGACAUUGGGGACAGCCUGCUUAGCGGAUGAAACAGAUGAAAAGCUUUCGCUGGGAUGUGUAUAAUCCUGUCCUCACGACAGUCAUCAGACCACCUCGUAGAUUAUACAGUAACUCGCUUGAGGAUCACUUUCUAGGCUAUUUGAAUUAAAUGAGGAGCGGUGGUGACAUGCAAAGUUCUUAUUUUGCGCUCUUCCUGGGUGUAAUUUCUGAAGCACCACAUCAACACGCAGCAGCUGCAACCGGAGAGAAAUCCCUAAUAUGCCGCUUUUUUCCCUCGGUUUCCACUCAUGCCUGUUGCACUGUGGGCGCACAAGGAGAAUACUUGCAGCUGACAAGCGACCAACACAUGGUGCGUUGUUAUGAUCAAUGGAUAAAGAGAAAACAGAGGCCCUGAAAUCAUUGCCUCACCAGGACUGGACCCAGCCGGUGGCAGGCGAGCCGUGCUGCCCUGAGCUUGGGGCUCAGACUGUGGCUGAAGGAGGGAGUGAGCCUGGAUCUGAGAUUGAGUCUGGGGCUCAGACUGGAGCUGGAGCUGGGGCACAGACACGGCUGUGACGGGGACAGUCUGAGGGAAAUCACUGGAUCUUGCAGGCACCACCAAACGGGAGCUUAUGGCUUUCUCCUCUUCUUGACAGAGAUGUGGAUCAAAGCGGGAAAAGCUGCUGAAUUUCGCAUCCCGACCGGACAUUUACCACCGUUGCUCUGAAAAAUGGGCAAUAAGUUGGAUUUUGACUUCAGCCACAUGCACAGACAAUUUGGCCAACAAGUGAAAUCAUGGACAGACAGACUGGCGAUUGCAGCAUUAGGUAACAGAUUUCCCCUCGUGGGGAUUUUCAGAUGGAGGCUACCUGACAUGCUGUUGAAACCGUGAUGGAGGGAGGAGGCGAUAGGCCAGUGUUCCCCCCCUUCGCUGCGUGUUACAGAGCAGGUCACACCAAAGUCUGCCACUCAGUAGGACCUUUCUGAUGUUCGUACGGGGUGAGGUAGUAGGUUGUGUGGUUUCAGGGUAGUGAUUUUGCCCAAUCAGGAGAUAACUAUACAACCUACUGCCUUCCCUGAAGGGCAGCAAUACUUCACCAUGCAGACAGCAGAGGGUGUCAUGUGUUCAGCAUCAGAAAAACUCCCAGAAUCCACAAACCAAACCAGGUCAGCUGUCUGGCCCUGAGCCGUCAGGUCACCUCCUAACCGGAAUGUAGACAUCCACAACCAAUCAUAGCAGCAGAGAAGACCAGCAGGUAAAAUCUGUUCACUCUAGGAUUCGUCUUUGAUUUUCUGCUUCAAACAGUAAUAAAGAAUAAGAAGAUUAA